UCUAUGACAUUCGAUCUAUUUUAAAGAUAUCCUAAGUAGUGAAUGUAAAGAUGCAUAUAUAUAUAUAAGAACAUAAACAGGACUACUCAUGAUGACAUGCACAAGUUAGAUAAAGAUUUUUUUCUAAUUGUAUCUCUCACUAUUUUAACGAAUUUCAUAGACCUCAAGUAUGAAAUCGAAGAAUCUUAUCAUAAAGUUCCUUAGUGGGAUUG
rnacentral:lncRNA from 1 species